GAUGAACGCUGGCGGCGUGCCUAAUACAUGCAAGUCGAGCGAACAGACGUGUUUCUUGCUCCUCUCACGUUAGCGACGGACGGGUACGUACCCCUUGGAUAACCUCCAUAUCUGACUGCGAUUACUUCUAGACCCUGGAGCUAAUACCGGAUAAUAUAUUCCACCGCAUGGUUCACUAGUGUCUGACGGUUUUGCUGUCACUUCUAUAUGUUUCCGCGCCGCAUUAGAUAGGUGGUAAGGUGACGGCUUACCACGACGACGAUGCGUAGACGACCGGAGAGGGUGAUCGGACACACUGGAACUGAAACACGGUCAAGACGCAUAAGGGAGGCAGCAGGAGGGAAACUUCCGCAAUGGGCGAAAGACUGACGGAGCAACGCCGCGUGAGGGAUGAAGGUCUUCGGAGCGUAAAACUCUGUUAUUAGGGAAGAACAAAUGUGUAAGUAACUAUGCACGUCUUGACGGUACCUAAUCAGAAAGACACGGCUAACUACGUG
rnacentral:rRNA from 1 species